UGCCCACUGAUUAAUAAAAUUAAAGGGCUGCAGUAAUUUGACUGUACAAAGGUAGCAUAAUCAUUAGUCAUUUAAUUGGUGACUUGUAUGAAAGAUUGGAUGAAAUAUAAACUGUCUUAAUAAUAAAAUGUAAAAUUUAAUUUUUUAGUUAAAAAGCUAAGAUAAUUUAAAAAGACGAGAAGACCCUAUAGAGUUUUAUUAUUAUUUUAUUAAUAUUUUUUUUAUAAAAUUUAAAAUUUUUAUUUUUUUAAUAAUUUUAUUGGGGUGAUGAAAAAAUUAAAAUAACUUUUUAUGUUAAUUAACAUUAAUAAAUGAUUAAUUGAUCCAAUUUUAUUGAUUAUAAGAAAGAAUUACCUUAGGGAUAACAGCGUAAUUUUAAUUUUUAGUUCAAAUAAAAAUUAGAGUUUGCGACCUCGAUGUUGGAUUAAGAUAAAAUUUAAAUGCAGAAGUUUAAAAUUUUGA
rnacentral:rRNA from 1 species